rnacentral:rRNA from 1 species
AGUGAACGCUGGCGGCAGGCCUAACACAUGCAAGUCGAGCGGCAGCGCGUCCGACCACCCUCGGGUGGUCGGAUGGCGGCGAGCGGCGGACGGGUGAGGAAUGCAUCAGAAUCUGCCUCGUUGUGGGGGAUAACGUAGGGAAACUUACGCUAAUACCGCAUACGACCUACGGGUGAAAGUGGGGGACCUUCGGGCCUCACGCGAUGAGAUGAGCCGAUGCCGGAUUAGCUAGUUGGCGGGGUAAAGGCCCACCAAGGCGACGAUCCGUAGCUGGUCUGAGAGGAUGAUCAGCCACACUGGAACUGAGACACGGUCCAGACUCCUACGGGAGGCAGCAGUGGGGAAUAUUGGACAAUGGGGGCAACCCUGAUCCAGCCAUGCCGCGUGUGUG